CCUACGGGCGGCAGCAGUGGGGAAUAUUGGACAAUGGGGGCAACCCUGAUCCAGCCAUGCCGCGUGUGUGAAGAAGGCCCUCGGGUUGUAAAGCACUUUCAGUGAGGAAGAACGCCUGGUGGUUAAUACCCAUCAGGAAAGACAUCACUCACAGAAGAAGCACCGGCUAACUCCGUGCCAGCAGCCGCGGUAAUACGGAGGGUGCGAGCGUUAAUCGGAAUUACUGGGCGUAAAGCGCGCGUAGGUGGCUUGAUAAGCCGGUUGUGAAAGCCCCGGGCUCAACCUGGGAACGGCAUCCGGAACUGUCAAGCUAGAGUGCAGGAGAGGAAAGUAGAAUUCCCGGUGUAGCGGUGAAAUGCGUAGAGAUCGGGAGGAAUACCAGUGGCGAAGGCGGCCUUCUGGACUGACACUGACACUGAGGUGCGAAAGCGUGGGUAGCAAACAGGAUUAGAUACCCUAGUAGUC
rnacentral:rRNA from 1 species